rfam:Ovis aries breed Texel chromosome 1, whole genome shotgun sequence.
UCCCCGGUGGCUCAGACGGUGAAGCGUCUGCCUGCAGUGCAGGAGACUCGGGUUGGACCCCUGGGUGGGGAA